UACAUGGGGUGCAAACGUUGCUCGGAAUUAUUGGGCGUAAAGCGCGCGUAGGCGGCUUUGCAAGUCGGGUGUGAAAUCCCCAGGCUCAACCUGGGAACUGCAUUCGAGACUGCAUUGCUAGAGUAUGGGAGAGGGAAGUGGAAUUUCCGGUGUAGCGGUGAAAUGCGUAGAUAUCGGAAGGAACAUCAGUGGCGAAAGCGACUUCCUGGACCAAUACUGACGCUCAUGUGCGAAAGCGUGGGGAGCAAACAGG
rnacentral:rRNA from 1 species